rnacentral:rRNA from 1 species
GACGAACGCUGGCGGCGUGCUUAACACAUGCAAGUCGAGCGGUAAGGCCCUUUCGGGGUACGACGAGCGGCGAACGGGUGAGUAACACGUGGGUGACCUGCCCUCAGCUCUGGGAUAAGCCUGGGAAACCGGGUCUAAUACUGGAUAUGACUCCAUGACGCAUGUUGUGGGGUGGAAAGCCUUGUGCGGCUGAGGAUGGGCCCGCGGCCUAUCAGCUUGUUGGUGGGGUGAGGCCUACCAAGGCGACGACGGGUAGCCGGCCUGAGAGGGCGACCGGCCACACUGGGAC